rnacentral:rRNA from 1 species
GAGGAAUAUUGGUCAAUGGGCGCAAGCCUGAACCAGCCAAGUAGCGUGCAGGAAGACGGCCCUAUGGGUUGUAAACUGCUUUUAUACGAGAAUAAUUUGAUGCACGUGUGCGUUAUUGCAUGUAUCGUAUGAAUAAGGACCGGCUAAUUCCGUGCCAGCAGCCGCGGUAAUACGGAAGGUCCAGGCGUUAUCCGGAUUUAUUGGGUUUAAAGGGAGUGUAGGCGGUUUGUUAAGCGUGUUGUGAAAUUUAGGUGCUCAACAUUUAACUUGCAGCGCGAACUGGCGAACUUGAGUGCACACAACGUAUGCGGAAUUCAUGGUGUAGCGGUGAAAUGCUUAGAUAUCAUGAAGAACUCCGAUUGCGAAGGCAGCAUACGGGAGUGUAACUGACGCUUAAGCUCGAAGGUGCGGGUAUCGAACAGGAUUAGAUACCCUGGUAGUCCGCACAGUAAACGAUGGAUGCCCGCUGUUAGCGCCUGGCGUUAGCGGCUAAGCGAAAGCAUUAAGCAUCCCACCUGGGGAGUACGCCGGCAACGGUG